rnacentral:tRNA from 1 species
GGGAUCAUAGUCUAGCUUGGUAUGAUGCCAGCCUCGGGCGCUGGAGACCGCCGGUUCAAAUCCGGCUGAUCCCA